rnacentral:rRNA from 1 species
CAAGCCUGAUGCAGCGACGCCGCGUGGGGGAUGACGGCCUUCGGGUUGUAAACUCCUUUCGCUAGGGACGAAGCUUUUGUGACGGUACCUAGAUAAGAAGCACCGGCUAACUACGUGCCAGCAGCCGCGGUAAUACGUAGGGUGCGAGCGUUGUCCGGAAUUACUGGGCGUAAAGGGCUCGUAGGUGGUUUGUCGCGUCGUCUGUGAAAUUCCGGGGCUUAACUCCGGGCGUGCAGGCGAUACGGGCAUAACUUGAGUACUGUAGGGGUAACUGGAAUUCCUGGU